rnacentral:rRNA from 1 species
UACAGAGGUCUCAAGCGUUGUUCGGAUUCAUUGGGCGUAAAGGGUGCGUAGGUGGCGGGGUAAGUCAGGUGUGAAAUCUCGGAGCUCAACUCCGAAACUGCACUUGAUACUGCCUUGCUCGAGUACUGGAGAGGAGAUUGGAAUUUACGGUGUAGCAGUGAAAUGCGUAGAGAUCGGCAGGAACACCCAGGGGGAAACCAGCCGACUGGGCAUCUACUGACGCUGAGGUGCGAGAGCGUGGGGAGCGAACCGG